CUCAGCAGCCACAAAGACAUAUCUGAGAGGGUUGUCAGUUUAGUCGCCGACGGCUUCGACUGGAUGGAGUUUAUUGUUGUACCCAGGACGUCCCUAACUACCUUAAGCUAGGCUUACUACUCUUAAAUACGUGGAAAUGCAUCCCGAUGACGACACUGGAUAAACUCUACAUAUGCCUGUUCUUGCUAGCCAGUUCCUUUAUAUUGACAACUGGUGUGUACGUGUGCUGGGCGAUGUUAAGCACAAGUGCUGCAGCCACUAUAGAGCGUGAAUCAACAGCGGCACAGGUCCUUUUCCCUGUCUAUACUGGUUUUGAUUUAUUCUGCUUGUCCAUAAUCAUGUACGUUUUGAAAGGGAGAAUCAACCAAAUAUGGCGGAAAUGGCGUGCACACAACCGAUCAAUUUUAAUACUAAGCCGUCCAUCACAGCAACAAGAAGUAUAGAGUAGAAAGCCACGAGUUCAACGAAAUUACAUCUAAACCAACUUCACACCUAGAUAAAAUGUAUAGUACAGUAACUAGAUUAUAGACACGAUGAUAUAUGUUUACUAUAAAAUUCAAAAACGAAAUAAAAUUCAAAUGUAUCUCUGGGGCAUUACCAGUUUUCAUCCAACAAUGGCACAUACAAACAUCUUUUUUUUAAACUUAAGAUUUUUUCCGUUUUAUUCAAUUAUUACAAAUUGGAUUAUCCAUAGUAGUUUAUCGUGAGUUGUUGCAUAUAUGGUAAAAUGGAACUAUCCAGAGUGUCAAUCAAACUUCAGAACUGACCAAUCAGAACAGAGCGUGGAGUACAUGCGUCUCAAAGCGUGUUGUCCCACAAAAGGAUGUUGUUUACAUAUUUUUAACAUUGUCGUAUAAUGGGACCUUAACAACAUCAAAGGGGCGGGGCUUAGUGGAAAGCGCUAUUAUAAUUCACAUCCAAUUGAAGAGGGACAGCUGAGGAUGUUGCUAUUUUUAAUAGCUGUAGAUUACAAAGCAUGGUUGAAAUUUAAAAAUAUGAAAUAUUUUACUCAUUUUCUAAAGUGAACACAAAUAAUUGCAACAUUAUUAUUUUGACGUGUUUUAAUCAAACAUUACAGUCAUUUUUCAGUAGUUCACAUGAAUAAUUAAUUUAAUAAAUUAUUCAUGAUUAAUUAUACUUACAAAAUACUGAAUACUAUUUCAUUUCAUUAUAUAUUUGGUCCAAAAACAAAAUGGGAAGACCAGAACUGGACUGAACCAGUGAGCUGUAGUAGUGCUGGUUGGCCCAUCCCCAAUCACAAAUAA